GGGGGCGACCUGGCUUCGACGUGGGUUGCGAAACCUGAGGUGCAUGCCGAGGUGCAGAAUACCUCGUUAAUCCAUCUGCAAACUUAUAGUUGCCAACGACGACAACUACGCACUCGCAGCUUAAACCCCUGUAGGGUGCCGUCUGACUGGAGCCGUGCAUGUGCGUCCAGGUUCUUUAUGCCCUUUGGGUAUUCGGAACACUCAGGCGUCGACUCUCACAUGAUCGCGUUGAAGCUCGUUCGGGGUGGAUACGCUAAAACUUACCGAACUCGCUGUUUGUUUUCCCUGCCCGUCGGGUAGCAAGCAGUUAAACUAAUAGACCGGGAUAAGCAUGUAGAGCCGAUGGCAGAGGACUUGCGGACGCGGGUUCGAUUCCCGCCGCCUCCACCA
rnacentral:tmRNA from 1 species